GUCUCUGAUUCACAAAUCACAACCACCGUCUCCCAACUUCAAUUCCCCUCAAACUUGGGCGACGACGAGACCAGGGCUGAGUGGGCAACGGUAGUCCGUACUUAGCGACUCUCUCAUCUUCAUCUACAGCGUAUACAAGAUGCGAGUCCUGUGCAUCCUUCGACACUCACAACUCAGCCUCGCCCCGGUCUGAUCCUGUGUACCGUCGUUGAAACACAUCCUAAUUCAUUUAAAACUAAUCCAAAAAGAGCAGCAGAUGAAAAUACCCGGAGAUGAUGAAGUUGGAUGAUGAUGUGGAGAGGGAAGAGUUGUUAGAGUCCUUGCCCGGUUUUGAUGUUCUUGUUGGUGGUAGAUCAGACUUGGGGUAUGAAAAUCAUGAUUACUUGAUGCAACAUGAUGUGGCUGGUGGAGAGCUUGAUGGUUUAUUUUACUAUUUAUGAGCAGCUGAAAUCUUUUCUUUGCUCUGAUGAUGAAAGACAUAAACUUUCUAUUGGUGCCAACAUGCUUGCUGCUGCUGCUGCUGGGGCUGCAACUACAAUUGCCACAAAUCCUCUUUGGGUUGUGAAGACUAGACUUCAGACUCAAGGAAUGAGAGCUGGUGUUGUCGGGUGGUCUUGUGACUGCUCUAGCGGGUAUUAGUCAUGUUGCUAUCCAGUUUCCAACAUAUGAGAAGAUCAAGAUAUAUUUGGCUAAUCGGGAAAACAAGAAUGACAGUAAAAACCAUGUUCUGAAGUCAAUUUCAAUCACAGAGCCUCCAAUCUGAUAAGACGAGAGAAGCACUAAAUUCAUACUAACACUGGACUAAACAUAAAAUGUUAGAGAUGCCCAAAGCGGAAAAAGAAAGAUCAGGAAACAGCAACUCGGCUAGUGUUAGCAGAACCACACAAAAAAACAACGUACUUACUAGUGCCUUCAUGGGAUUUCUCUCUUCUUCUCCCAUUCAGCAGUCAAUAAAGUCAGUCCACCACCGCCCUGUAAGAAAGCUUCAAACACUUUCGAUGUCAAACAAUGAAUUGAACCAGGUUUGUACAGCUGAUGGGUAGACAUAUUUGGAUAAGGGCACCACGGUUACUUUCAUCGUUAAACUUGGCUCGUGCAACUAUCCAAAUGCCCCAGCCAUUGUGGCCCCUCGAGGGAGAGCAAAUCAAGGCAGUGACGAUCUCUUCAAAUAUAGACAGUACCAUAGAGGAGAUGGUUCAAUGUACCGUGUACGCCCCCAUACCACGCUAUCAAAGGAGUCUUUAGGCACAAUUGAGUUGCCAAGAAAACAUAACUGCUUCUUGAUGCCCAGUGGCAACUUGAUUGAGAAAAGUUCCAUUAAAAUAGUUGAUUUUACAUAUAUACACAUAUAAAGCCAAGUCUGUAAGGUACAGUUGUGAUGAUAAAUAACCUUAAUUUCAUAAUUUUAAUUUUAAGUAUAAUUAAAUGG